UUUGAUCAUGGCUCAGAUUGAACGCUGGCGGCAGGCCUAACACAUGCAAGUCGAACGGUAACAGGAAGCAGCUUGCUGCUUCGCUGACGAGUGGCGGACGGGUGAGUAAUGUCUGGGAAACUGCCUGAUGGAGGGGGAUAACUACUGGAAACGGUAGCUAAUACCGCAUAAUGUCGCAGGACCAAAGAGGGGGACCUUCGGGCCUCUUGCCAUCAGAUGUGCCCAGAUGGGAUUAGCUUGUUGGUGAGGUAACGGCUCACCAAGGCGACGAUCCCUAGCUGGUCUGAGAGGAUGACCAGCCACACUGGAACUGAGACACGGUCCAGACUCCUACGGGAGGCAGCAGUGGGGAAUAUUGCACAAUGGGCGCAAGCCUGAUGCAGCCAUGCCGCGUGUAUGAAGAAGGCCUUCGGGUUGUAAAGUACUUUCAGCGGGGAGGAAGGGGAUAAGGCUAAUAACCUUGUUCAUUGACGUUACCCGCAGAAGAAGCACCGGCUAACUCCGUGCCAGCAGCCG
rnacentral:rRNA from 1 species